rnacentral:misc_RNA from 1 species
GAUGAAGAACGCAGCGAAAUGCGAUAAGUAAUGUGAAUUGCAGAAUUCAGUGAAUCAUCGAAUCUUUGAACGCACAUUGCGCCCGCCAGUAUUCUGGCGGGCAUGCCUGUCCGAGCGUCAUUUCAACCCUCGAACCCCUCCCGGGGGUCGGCGUUGGGGAUCGGCCCUGCCUCUUGGCGGUGGCCGUCUCCGAAAUACAGUGGCGGUCUCGCCGCAGCCUCUCCUGCGCAGUAGUUUGCACACUCGCAUCGGGAGCGCGGCGCGUCCACAGCCGUUAAACACCCAACUUCUGAAAUGUUGACCUCGGAUCAGGUAGGAAUACCCGCUGAACUUAAGCAUAUCAAUAAGCGGAGGA